AUACUUACCUGGACGGGGUCAAUGGGUGGUCAAGGUGGCCCAUGGCCUAGGUUGGUGGCUUCCAUUGCACUGAGGAAGUGCACCCGCCUAAGGUCUGCCCAAGUGGCAGAGCCUACGUCAUAAUUUGUGGCAGUGGGGGCCUGCGUUCGCGCGGCCCCUUA
rnacentral:snRNA from 1 species